rnacentral:rRNA from 1 species
UACAGAGGUCCCAAGCGUUGUUCGGAUUCAUUGGGCGUAAAGGGUGCGUAGGCGGCGCGGUAAGUCGGGUGUGAAAGUCUCGGAGCUUAACUCCGAAACUGCAUUCGAUACUGCCGUGCUUGAGGACUGGAGAGGAGACUGGAAUUUACGGUGUAGCGGUGAAAUGCGUAGAUAUCGUAAGGAAGACCAGUGGCGAAGGCGGGUCUCUGGACAGUUCCUGACGCUGAGGCACGAAGGCCAGGGGAGCAAACGGG